GCCCGCCUAGCUCAAUCGGAUAGAGCGUCAGACUCUUAUAAUCGUUCAACGUCGGGCUUAGACAUUUGAUCUGAAGGCUGCGAGUUCGACCCUCGCGGUGGGCU